rnacentral:rRNA from 1 species
GACGAACGCUGGCGGCGUGCUUAACACAUGCAAGUCGAACGGAAAGGCUCCAGCUUGCUGGAGUACUCGAGUGGCGAACGGGUGAGUAACACGUGGGUAAUCUGCCCUGCACUCUGGGAUAAGCCUGGGAAACUGGGUCUAAUACUGGAUAUGACCUUUCUCCUUAUGGGGUUUGGUGGAAAGUUUUUCGGUGUAGGAUGAGCCCGCGGCCUAUCAGCUUGUUGGUGGGGUGAUGGCCUACCAAGGCGACGACGGGUAGCCGGCCUGAGAGGGUGAUCGGCCACAUUGGGACUGAGAUACGGCCCAGACUCCUACGGGAGGCAGCAGUGGGGAAUAUUGCACAAUGGGCGGAAGCCUGAUGCAGCGACGCCGCGUGAGGGAUGACGGCCUACGGGUUGUAAACCUCUUUCAGCAGGGACGAAGCGUAAGUGACGGUACCUGCAGAAGAAGCACCGGCUAACUAUGUG